rnacentral:rRNA from 1 species
UACGUAGGGUGCAAGCGUUGUCCGGAAUUAUUGGGCGUAAAGAGCCUCGUAGGCGGUUUGUCGCGUCUGCUGUGAAAACUCGGGGCUUAACUCCGGGCCUGCAGUGGGUACGGGCAGACUAGAGUGCGGUAGGGGAGACUGGAAUUCCUGGUGUAGCGGUGAAAUGCGCAGAUAUCAGGAGGAACACCGGUGGCGAAGGCGGGUCUCUGGGCCGUAACUGACGCUGAGGAGCGAAAGCGUGGGGAGCGAACAGG